rnacentral:rRNA from 1 species
UACGGAGGAUGCAAGCGUUGUCCGGAAUCAUUGGGCGUAAAGGGUCCUUAGGUGGUUUGCUGAGUCCGCUGUGAAAGUUCAGGGCUUACCCUUGAAAAUGCGGUGGAAACUAGUAGGCUAGAGUACGGUGGGGGCAGAGGGAAUUCCCGAUGUAGCGGUGAAAUGCAUAGAUAUCGGGAAGAACACCGGCGGCGAAGGCACUCUGCUGGGCCGACACUGACACUGAAAGACGAAAGUCUGGGGAGCGAAUGGG